AGCAGCCGCGGUAAUUCCAGCUCCAAUAGCGUAUAUUAAAGUUGUUGCAGUUAAAAAGCUCGUAGUUGAAUUUCGAGAUCAAUUUGUGGGUCGUGCCUCGGUACGUACUGGCAUUAUCGAUUUCUCCCUUCUGAAGAACCGCGAUGUCAUUAAUUUGGUGUCGUGGGGAAUCAGGACUGUUUACUUUAGAAAAAAUUGAGUGUUUAAAGCAGGCUUACGCUUGAAUACAUUAGCA
rnacentral:rRNA from 1 species